rfam:Moniliophthora roreri MCA 2997 sctg_0171_0001, whole genome shotgun sequence.
GAUAUUGGCUGCGGGUAUCCUUGUCAACGCCUAUACUCACUAGAGUAUCGCAUUGCAAGGAUUGAGAUCAUACCGCUUGAACCUGAUCAGCGCUCAUACCUGCGUAGGGAAGCCCCAGUGUCGAAAA